rnacentral:rRNA from 1 species
UACGAAGGGGCGAGCGUUGUUCGGAUUUACUGGGCGUAAAGGGCGCGUAGGCGGCCCUCUUUGUCGCGUGUGAAAGCCCCGGGCUCAACCUGGGAAUUGCGCGCGAAACGGGGGGGGCUUGAGUUCGGGAGAGGAGCGUGGAAUUCCCAGUGUAGAGGUGAAAUUCGUAGAUAUUGGGAAGAACACCGGUGGCGAAGGCG